CUGAUUCAGACUAGCCAUGCACGUCUAGUACAAACUAAAUGAUGGUGAAACUGCAAAUGGCUCAUUACAACGGUUAUGAUGUACCCGGGAGUUCCGAUGGAUAUUUCCAGUAACACUAGAACUAAUACAUGUCCCUGCGUUUAUUAGUUUCGCACAGUCCGUCGCUGAGUCAUGGUAAACAGUUGAUCGACUCGACGUCCCGGAACAGUUUCCGCCCCAUCAGCUUCGAUGGUUGGGUAUUGGCCUACCAUUGCAACAACGGGUAACGAGGAAUUAGGGUUUGAUUUCGGAGAGGGAGCCUGAGAAACGGCUACCACAUCUACGGAUGGCAGCAGGCGCGCAAAUUACCCAAUGCAGACACUGUGAGGUAGUGACGAGAAAUAAUAAAGCGGGACUUCUGUUUCGCUAUUAUAAUGAGGAAUAACCAAAGGUCAUUCCGAUUAGCAACUGAUGGGAAAGUCUGGUGCCAGCAGCCGCGGUAAUACCAGCGUCAGUAGCAU
rnacentral:rRNA from 1 species